rnacentral:rRNA from 1 species
UGGGGAAUAUUGGACAAUGGGCGCAAGCCUGAUCCAGCAAUGCCGCGUGUGUGAAGAAGGCCUGAGGGUUGUAAAGCACUUUCAAUAGAGACGAAAAGCUCAGGGUUAAUACCCCUGAGUCUUGACUUAACCUAUAGAAGAAGCACCGGCUAACUCCGUGCCAGCAGCCGCGGUAAUACGGAGGGUGCAAGCGUUAAUCGGAAUUACUGGGCGUAAAGCGCUCGUAGGCGGUUUGUUAAGUCGGAUGUGAAAGCCCCGGGCUUAACCUGGGAACUGCAUUCGAUACUGGCAGACUAGAGUAUAGUAGAGGCAAGCGGAAUUCCGGGUGUAGCGGUGAAAUGCGUAGAUAUCCGGAGGAACAUCAGUGGCGAAGGCGGCUUGCUGGACUAAUACUGACGCUGAGGAGCGAAAGCGUGGGGAGCAAACGGGAUUAGAUACCCCCGUAGUCC